rnacentral:misc_RNA from 1 species
UGGCUCUCGCAUCGAUGAAGAACGCAGCGAAAUGCGAUAAGUAAUGUGAAUUGCAGAAUUCAGUGAAUCAUCGAAUCUUUGAACGCACCUUGCGCUCCUUGGUAUUCCGAGGAGCAUGCUUGUUUGAGUGUCAUGGUCUUCUCAACCCUCUUGUGUUUUUUAUUAAACACAGGUGGGCUUGGACUUGGAGGUUUUGCAGGCAUCUGAAUCUUUCGAAUCAGAAGUCAGCUCCUCUGAAAUGCAUUAGCUUGAAUAGAACCAAGCAUGAUUCAACGUGAUAAUUGUCUACGUUGCUUCAUCUCGGUGAAUUUAAUGUUCGAGCUUCUAACUGUCCUCUGGGACACUAUCUGAACAUCUGACCUCAAAUCAAGUAGGACUACCCGCUGA